rnacentral:rRNA from 1 species
UGGGGAAUAUUGCACAAUGGGCGCAAGCCUGAUGCAGCCAUGCCGCGUGUGUGAAGAAGGCCUUCGGGUUGUAAAGCACUUUCAGCGAGGAGGAAGGUGGUGAGCUUAAUACGCUCAUCAAUUGACGUUACUCGCAGAAGAAGCACCGGCUAACUCCGUGCCAGCAGCCGCGGUAAUACGGAGGGUGCAAGCGUUAAUCGGAAUUACUGGGCGUAAAGCGCACGCAGGCGGUUUGUUAAGUCAGAUGUGAAAUCCCCGGGCUCAACCUGGGAACUGCAUUUGAAACUGGCAAGCUAGAGUCUCGUAGAGGGGGGUAGAAUUCCAGGUGUAGCGGUGAAAUGCGUAGAGAUCUGGAGGAAUACCGGUGGCGAAGGCGGCCCCCCUGGACGAAGACUGACGCUCAGGUGCGAAAAGCGUGGGGCAGCAAACAGGAUUAGAUACCCUGGUAGUCCAGCGCUGUAAAACGAUGUCGAUUUGGAGGUUGUGCCCUUGAGGCGUGGCUUCCGGAGCUAACGCGUUAAAUCGACCGCCUGGGGAGUACGGUCGCAAGAUUAAAAACUCAAAUGAAUUGACGGGGUCAUAGCUGUUUCCU